CGGUUAGAGCGUGGUGCUAAUAACGCUAAGGUCGUGGGUUCGACCCCCACUCUGGCCA
rnacentral:tRNA from 1 species